rnacentral:lncRNA from 1 species
GAGCCACUUUUCCCACGGGGAAGGAUCUGCCGUGAAGUUAGGUCAGAGGAGAAAGGCGCACCCCACGAAGGCAGGGGCCAACACAACAACAAAAAUGAAGAUGCCAAGGGCACACGUUUGUGAGUGUGCCAGUAGGGUUCUGCGUGACGACACGUGCAGCAAAGGGUAUAGACGUGGAUUGGGGGGCGGCGGUGGGGUCUUCCCCGGGGCCCAUGCCUCUACUCUUGACCUGUGCCAGCAGCCUCACGAUGACACUAGUCUAAACGCCUGUGUCUCCCGCAUUCCUGGGGUCCUCUGCCGUGGGGUUCACAGAGGAUGCAAACGUGCAGGCACGUUUCACAUCCCAGGCCGUGGGGAGCUUCUCUAAGAGGGACUGAGAAUGGUGGUGAUCCUGAAAGGGUUAAAAGCCAAGCCUCGAAAUAGAGGCCCUUCUACACCACAGCAAAAGGUGCUGUUGUGAGGAAGUAAGGACACCAAUUCACCAUCAUCUGUCAUUCGUGCUUUAGAAGAUAGAUCUGCUCCCUCAGGGUUUGCCAGGGUCCUGUCACGGGAGUACCAGCAACUGAGGGUACCCCCGGGAAAGUGCACGUGCAGUAGAGACCCGUUUUCUUUUGUCGUUGUUGCUGUUUUGAGUUUUUAAGAACCGUCUGUUUUCUUAGUAAUGUUUGACCACUGUGAUCACUCCAGAGGGGAAAAGAAAUAGGAAAACUUUGGAGAAACACAGAAUUAGUGUUAUGGGCUUUCUGACAAAUAGACCUUGGUGUUACUUCAGAAAUGCCAGGAAGGUGUGCACGGAACCAGGAGGCUUUGCAGAGCGAGGCCAAGACCCGCUGCUGUAUUUGAAGCUCCUCCUUGCGGGGGCUCCAGGACAGAAGACAGGACCUCCCUUUAGUUUAUGUGAUAAAACCAUCAAAGAGUAGCUGUGUGUCCCUGUGGUCCUGUCCUACUCUGGGUGGUUUCCCCUCCGUCCCAGCCAUUGAGGAAAGCCUGGUUUGCAGGCUGAAGAUGUUACCAUUGUCCACCAGCUGGGACUGGCCGCCCUAGGGCCACCCCACCCCCCACCCCCGUCCCGUAAUGCAUUUGAAACCCUUCAGCCAGCCCUUUACUGGAGUAAAAGCAAUUUGAGGAGGAAGUUCUAGGUUUUGCUCUUGGAUUUGGUCUUGUGGUAUUUUUAGUUUUAUUGUUUAACCCCAGUGUUUCAUGUCUGUGGUAUAAAAAGCCGGAGGUCUAACAGGCUCAUAAUGAAAACCAGCAGACCCCCAGCACUAAGGCUUCCCCUGCCUAGAGGCAGCCGUUUUAGCAUUAAUUUCUUCUGGGUAUUAACCUCUAUAUUUCUGAAUAAUGUGCUUAAAUUACUUUUUCUUGAUUUUUUCACGUCUAGAUAUUAUCUAUUGAUUUCCUUCUGAGGAAGAUAAGGAUUGAGCGCCAGUAACCCUUCCGCCCCUAUCUGAAGCACCUCUCCUUCCUUCUCCCUCUCAGAGUGUUCUGUCAUCAUUUCUGGCGAUGUCAGCAUCCUUUUGCCUGAUUAAGACUGCUUAUAAUUGGGAGUUCCCUGGUAGCCUAGCGGUUAAAGGAUCUGGUGUUGUCACUGCUGUGGUGCAGGUUUAACCUCCAGCCCCGGAACUUCUGCAUGCUGCAAGUGCAUAAAUAUCACUCACAGCUCUGCCUUGUGUAUUCUUUGGUUAUAUUUCCCUUUGAUCCCUCAUGCUUCUCCCCCGGAGCAACUAAAUCACAGUGUUUUGUUGGUUUAGUUUAAUAUGGAGCUAUUACCGAUCCAGCCCCAGACUGACAGCAUUGCCACUCUCUUCUGUACAUUUACACAUCUGGUAGCCUGUGAUUUUGACAUCUUUUUUUGCAGAAAGGCCACUCCUUGGAGCUCUGCCUUCUCUUGCAACUCCCUGGACUGAUUGCUCCCCAGACCAGCUGUGUGGUUUUCAUUCUAGGAGGGCCUUUCGCUCACUUUCGUCUUGGGAAUCCCUUUGUUCUCUCCUGGGUUAGGUUUCUUCUCUUCUGGGAUCUCUAGCUUUCUCUUUCCUGCUUUAUGACCUCAUUUUGGGGGUGCACAGCCUUUAGCGGGUUUCUGAUGGAGGAGUGUGUGGGAGGAAAUUUACAAAUCUGGAUUCCGCCCUCCCACUUGGUUGACAGUUGUACUGGGUAUAAAAAUCAAGGUUGGAAAUCAUUCAGAGGAUUUUGAAGCAUCGUUCACUGAUUGCCAGUUUCCACUGUUGCCCAUGAGAAGUCUAAGGCCAUUUUAAUUCCUGAUCCUUUUUUUCUAUUUCUGGUGAAAUUCUUCAGCUUUAUAAUUUCCCUCUUUCUUUCUUUCCUUCUUUCCUUUCCUUUCCUCUUUCUUUCUUUCUUUUCUUUCUUUCUUUCUUUCUUUCUUUUUUUCUCUUUCUUUCUUUCCUUCCUUCCUUCCUUCCUUCCUUCCUUCCUUCCUUCCUUCCUUCCUUCCUUCCUUCCUCUCUCCCUCCCUUGCUCCCUUCCUUCUUUCUUUCUUUCCUAGCAUAUUUAUCACUUUGAAGAAUUCUUUUUUUCCCCCUGGUACUAUCACUUGUUUGCAGCAACCUGCUCUUGCUAGAUGUGUAUAUUAUUUUCUUUUCACAGAGGAUGUUAGAAUCCUCUAGGGGUUGUUCUAGAAAGGCUUGUUUUGUUCAGAAAGAGGGACUAAAAGGUGAUGAUGGUCUCUUAAAGGUUAACAUUCUCUUCACUGAGGAUAGUGUAUUUCUGUUGUUCUGUCACCUGUGUCAUCUGCUGCCUACUAGCCGAUUUGUCCUAGGUUUGUGUCUCCAUAUUUUAAAGGCUUUCCUCAGAGGCCUGGUGAUCCUUGACUGUCCUUAGGUAUUUAUCAGUGAAGCACCUUAAAGGUGAUGGGAAGCUGUAGGUUGGGUUUGUUGACUGGUGGCUUUCUUGAAAGCUAACUGGGUGGGGACCUAAGGGACAUUUCCUUGGAGAAUUUUCUAGCUUUCAGUAUCUGUGGUUGGUUUAGCUUGGCCUCCAAUCUUCCGGUCUCCCACCUAGUAACCUAAGUCUAAGUCUUAUCUCUCAGGAAGGAGGAGACUUUGCAACCUCACUGUUUCAGACCUAGUGUUGUCUUCACUACCUCUUUCUUCAGCUUGAUAACCUUGCCCUGGAUGAUCUCCACAUGCAAAGGUCCCUUAUUCAACUGCUGAUUGUUGGAGGGAUUAGAGAGAGGAUCUGGGGCUAAAACUCCUUUUAUAGACUUGCAAACGGUCCUCCUGUUUCCACCCUAAUGCUCUCCCACCCCGGAGGGGCUGUGGGCCGCAGAUUCUAAGCCCUCAGGGCACGAGUGGACUUGCCUCUGAGCUCUUCCCCUUGACCCACCUGCAAGCCCUUUCCUUCCCUCUCUCUGUAGCCUGCUGUCAGUGCUAAGGUGCCCAUCAGCUUUCCAGAUUCCAGAAUUUUGCUGACAUCUCCUAUUGGCUGUGUCCUCUUUCCCUUUUUUGUUUAUCCGUAUGGUUUUAUGCCUGUUUAUUCUCUUCCCACUCCCAGAAGGGAGUGGAGGUAAAAGCAUGUAUUUUACCUGGACAUCUUAGCCAGAAGUUUGGAAGAUCUUCCUCCCAAGGCACCCAAGAUAGUCCUUGGCUCAUGGUGUGUGUGCUAAGUCGUUAUAUGUCAGUCUUAUUAAACUGACAUGGCUGGGAGUUCCCAUUGUGCCUCAGUGGUGAUGAACCCAACUAGAGUCCAUGAGAUUGUGGAUUCAGUCCCUGGCCCCACUCAGUGGUUUAAGGAUUGCUUGUUGCUGUGAGCUGUGGUGUAGGCCACAGACGCAGCUUGGAUAUGGCAUUGCUGUGGCGUAGGCCUAUAAGAUCUCUAGCCUGGGGACGUCCAUUGCUGCAGGUGCAGCCUUAAAAAAGCAAACAAAACAAAACAAAUGUGAGAGGAAGAGUCAUGGGUUAUUCACGAAUAACCAUUAGGAAAUAAACACGACACCACUGAGAAAAGACCCAUCCUCUCAAGAGAUUCCUGGUUCAAAGCCAUUGCUCUUAGGAUAUGUCCUUGGUUCCUCUUGAAUCACGUGCCAGUUCGGCCUUUCUGGGUGUGGAUGCUGGACGGCUCCAGGAGUCAUCAGGUGGUGGGGACUCUGAAGCUGGGGCUUCCAUAGCGAGAGGGUAGAGAGACCUGGUGUCUGUGUGAGGCUGCGGGUCCCCGUCUCCCUGACCUCUGUUAAGUGUGAGAAACCUGAGACGGCCUCGGGGGCCCCGCGGCCCCCUUCCUGGGAUGGCACUUGUCCCUAGUGUCCGAGAGAGCCUGGCCAGUAGGCAGCAGGCAUCAAGUUCACGGUUCUGGGUCUGCUCUGCCAUCUGAUGGAAAGGAACAUCAACAUUCCAAGCUGGCACUGGGUUAUUAUCAUCUUGCUGCUUGAGUUCAGAGCCAUCCCAGCCAGUUCUCAGAGCAUUCAUUCAUCUAAUCCGUGUUUACUGAGCCCCUACUCUGUGCCAGGCUCCGUUCCACACCCAGGGGCACAGGGGGAGCCAGGCGGACAUCAAGGGACCCAUGAUCUAGAGGACAAGGGCCGACAAGGAAGAGGGAAACGGACGAAGAGGGCGUUUGAGACCCUGAAAACUGAAGUGGAAAAACAACAAGGAGGCUGCCGUGGGCACUGGGCCUGGGGUGGGCAGAGAGCGGCGGGCAGGGGCCCUGGGAGGAACCAAGUUCGUGUGAUUUCCAACUGCAGGGGGGCCUCCUGGCUGGGGAGGACGGCAGGUGGGGGCUUCUGGGCAUCGGGGUUUGCAGGAGGGCCCGCCCGGAAGCUGAGCAGGCGAGCCUGGCAGGUCAAUUACUCUAUCUGAUGGGGGUUAUGUGCGACGAGGAAGCAGCUGUCUGUCACCUAAGGCCAUCACGGGCGGAUUGGAGGUCGCACGCUGGGGCCCAGGUUCCCCCCCCCCGCCACCCCCCGUGAGCCAAGCAGCCCCUCCCCGUCGGGCUCCACGAGUGGCCGAGAGGAGGCCCAGGCCACAGCCCUUGUGCCCGGCCUCCAGCGACAGGAGGCUCUGCCCCUCCCCCACCUCCGGCCUGAGUCACCAGCCCCAGGGACCAGAGCCAGGGUGGCACAGCCCACGACACCUGGAGCCGCUGUCGCUCAGGCCAGCAGCACUGCUGGGAGAUUGAACAGGUUCACUUAGAGAAAGCAAAGAAAUAACUUCUUUUGAUAACCAGCAUCUGUUAGUUAAUGGGCCUCUGAGAGCUGUAUACAAUUUAAACUUUUU